rnacentral:rRNA from 1 species
UACAGAGGUCUCAAGCGUUGUUCGGAUUCAUUGGGCGUAAAGGGUGCGUAGGCGGCGUGGUAAGUCGGGUGUGAAAUUUCGAGGCUUAACUUCGAAACUGCAUUCGAUACUGCCGUGCUAGAGGACUGGAGAGGAGACUGGAAUUUACGGUGUAGCGGUGAAAUGCGUAGAUAUCGUAAGGAAGACCAGUGGCGAAGGCGGGUCUCUGGACAGUUCCUGACGCUGAGGCACGAAGGUCAGGGGAGCAAACGGG